rnacentral:rRNA from 1 species
AGCCCAUUCGGGGUGGAUUAGUGGCGAACGGGUGAGUAACACGUGGGCAAUCUGCCCUUCACUCUGGGACAAGCCCUGGAAACGGGGUCUAAUACCGGAUAACACUCUGUCCCGCAUGGGACGGGGUUAAAAGCUCCGGCGGUGAAGGAUGAGCCCGCGGCCUAUCAGCUUGUUGGUGGGGUAAUGGCCUACCAAGGCGACGACGGGUAGCCGGCCUGAGAGGGCGACCGGCCACACUGGGACUGAGACACGGCCCAGACUCCUACGGGAGGCAGCAGUGGGGAAUAUUGCACAAUGGGCGAAAGCCUGAUGCAGCGACGCCGCGUGAGGGAUGACGGCCUUCGGGUUGUAAACCUCUUUCAGCAGGGAAGAAGCGAAAGUGACGGUACCUGCAGAAGAAGCGCCGGCUAACUACGUGCCAGCAGCCGCGGUAAUACGUAGGGCGCAAGCGUUGUCCGGAAUUAUUGGGCGUAAAGAGCUCGUAGGCGGCUUGUCACGUCGGAUGUGAAAGCCCGGGGCUUAACCCCGGGUCUGCAUUCGAUACGGGCUAGCUAGAGUGUGGUAGGGGAGAUCGGAAUUCCUGGUGUAGCGGUGAAAUGCGCAGAUAU